UGGAGCUGAAGGAUCAGGGUGGACAGGUGUGUCGCAUCUUGUCAUCAGCUGGAGGACUACAAGAGGGUGGCAAGCCAACACUUUGACACCUGAGUGUUUUGCCUUUUUGUGGUUGCCCAAGUCACGCUCCAAGUAAAAGAACCUCUGAAGAACUCAUCUGACAAUAACUUGGAUUCUGAUCGUUCAUUCCUUGCCGGCCGCUGGCCCUGGUGGUUCCUCCGCAGCUUCCAGGCGAACCUUGUCCACCCUCCUUCGUCCUGCCAAGACAAUCUGUAGCACCGGCGGUUCAGCGUAGCCACACCGCCCCCACCCCCCAGGAUUGACAACCUCUCUCCCUGGCGGGCCGACCUUCAACCAGACUCCGGUGAGCAGAUCUUGGUUUUCCAGCCCCAGGUCACCUGUACAUAAAGUUCCUUCCGUGUUUUCUGCAUGUGGGUCAAGUCGGCCUUAUCCAAUAUGACAGGCCCAGACCUAUAUUUAAUUAAGAAGUUUCAGGCAGACUUAAAAUUGCUGUUCGUAGACUUGCUUCAUUCAAUCUGACUGAUCUUGGGCUAUUUUGCAACUAAGAAAAUAGUCAGAAAUUUCAGUUUGUAGAAGUACAAAGCUGGUACAGACACACCCCAAAAUCAUAUUCAGCUUUAAUUGCAGUAAAAUCUGGUUCUACAAGUUAUU